rnacentral:rRNA from 1 species
GAUGAACGCUGGCGGCGUGCCUAAUACAUGCAAGUCGAGCGGACGGACGAGAAGCUUGCUUCUCUGAUGUUAGCGGCGGACGAGUGAGUAACACGUGGAUAACCUACCUAUCAGACUGGGAUAACUUCGGGAAACCGGAGCUAAUACCGGAUAAUAUUUUGAACCGCAUGGUUCAAACGUGAAAGACGGUCUUGCUGUCACUUAUAGAUUGAUCCGCGCUGCAUUAGCUAGUUGGUAAGGUAACGGCUUACCAAGGCAACGAUGCAUAGCCGACCUGAGAGGGUGAUCGGCCACACUGGAACUGAGACACGGUCCAGACUCCUACGGGAGGCAGCAGUAGGGAAUCUUCCGCAAUGGGCGAAAGCCUGACGGAGCAACGCCGCGUGAGUGAUGAAGGUCUUCGGAUCGUAAAACUCUGUUAUUAGGGAAGAACAUAUGUGUAAGUAACUGUGCACAUCUUGACGGUACCUAAUCAGAAAGCCACGGCUAACUACGUG